rnacentral:tRNA from 1 species
CCCUGUGGCUCAGUUGGUAGAGCAUGACUGUUUGCAACGCCAGGGUUGUGGGUUCGAUUCCCACCGGGG